GAAGGGGGCUAGCGUUGCUCGGAAUUACUGGGCGUAAAGGGCGCGUAGGCGGACAGUUUAGUCAGAGGUGAAAGCCCAGGGCUCAACCUUGGAAUUGCCCUUGAUACUGGCUGUCUUGAGUUCGGGAGAGGUGAGUGGAAUGCCGAGUGUAGAGGUGAAAUUCGUAGAUAUUCGGCGGAACACCAGUGGCGAAGGCGACUCACUGGCCCGAUACUGACGCUGAGGCGCGAAAGCGUGGGGAGCAAACAGGAUUAGAUACCCUGGUAGUCCACGCCGUAAACGAUGAGUGCUAGUUGUCGGCAUGCAUGCAUGUCGGUGACGCAGCUAACGCAUUAAGCACUCCGCCUGGGGAGUACGGUCGCAAGAUUA
rnacentral:rRNA from 1 species